rnacentral:rRNA from 1 species
AUACGUAGGGGGCGAGCGUUGUCCGGAAUCAUUGGGCGUAAAGGGCGUGUAGGCGGUUUUGUAAGCCAGAUGUGAAAACUUGAGGCUCAACUUCAAGCCUGCAUCUGGAACUACAUCACUUGAGGGCAGGAGAGGAAGGUGGAAUUCCAUGUGUAGCGGUGAAAUGCGUAGAUAUAUGGAAGAACACCAGUGGCGAAGGCGACUUUCUGGACUGAACCUGACGCUGAGGCGCGAAAGCCAGGGGAGC